rnacentral:rRNA from 1 species
CUAGUGACCGAUAGUGAACCAGUACCGUGAGGGAAAGGUGAAAAGCACCCCGGGAGGGGAGUGAAAUAGAACCUGAAACCGUGUGCCUACAACAAGUUCGAGCCCGUUAAUGGGUGAGAGCGUGCCUUUUGUAGAAUGAACCGGCGAGUUACGUUAUGAUGCGAGGUUAAGUUGAAGAGACGGAGCCGUAGGGAAACCGAGUCUGAAUAGGGCGCCUUAGUAUCAUGACGUAGACCCGAAACCAUGUGACCUACCCAUGAGCAGGUUGAAGGUGCGGUAAGACGCACUGGAGGACCGAACCAGGGCACGUUGAAAAGUGCUUGGAUGACUUGUGGGUAGCGGAGAAAUUCCAAACGAACUUGGAGAUAGCUGGUUCUCUCCGAAAUAGCUUUAGGGCUAGCGUCGACAUUAGAGAUUCUUGGAGGUAGAGCACUGUUUGGGUGAGGGGUCCAUCCCGGAUUACCAAUCUCAGAUAAACUCCGAAUGCCAAUGAAUUAUGGUCGGCAGUCAGACUGCGAGUGCUAAGAUCCGUAGUCGAAAGGGAAACAGCCCAGACCACCAGCUAAGGUCCCAAAAUAAUUGUUAAGUGGAAAAGGAUGUGGGGUUGCACAGACAACUAGGAUGUUAGCUUAGAAGCAGCUAUUCAUUCAAAGAGUGCGUAAUAGCUCACUAGUCGAGUGACCCUGCGCCGAAAAUGUACCGGGGCUAAAACAAUUUACCGAAGCUGUGGAUACCUUUAUAGGUAUGGUAGGAGAGCGUUCUAUGUGUGAUGAAGGUAUACCGUGAGGAGUGCUGGAACGCAUAGAAGUGAGAAUGCCGGUAUGAGUAGCGAAAGACAGGUGAGAAUCCUGUCCACCGUAAGACUAAGGUUUCCAGGGGAAGGCUCGUCCGCCCUGGGUUAGUCGGGACCUAAGGAGAGACCGAAAGGUGUAUCCGAUGGACAACAGGUUGAUAUUCCUGUACUAGAGUAU